rnacentral:lncRNA from 1 species
CCUUGCUGGAGAGGUGAUACAGUCAUUUGGAGGAAAGAGGGUUGCUGUGGUAUGCUGGGGUUCCGCUUCAAUGCCUAGUCACCUCAGAUUUUCCUGUACCUGCAGGUAUCACCAGUGAAGCCUGCGAAGCAGCAAAGAUGGCAGUCUGCCCCGUCUUCUAGGAGCUCUGUCACAGGGAGGGAAUGAUACAAGCUUGUUGUGCAAGCCAGAAAUCUGAAUGUAUUCUUUGACAUCUACCACUCUUUUUCACUCUCUCCUUAUGUGGAAAGUACUAUGAAUUUAUUCUCCAAUCAUCUUUUUAAUCUGGACACCUCUGGCCAUUUCUAUUGCCACAACCAUAGUUCAAUUUAUUGUCAUCUCCUAACUGAACUACUGUAAUCGUUUCCUAAUACUCACUCAGAUGAUCUUACUUUAUGUAAUAUCUACUUCACAUACGCAGCUGGAGUAAAAUGUUACAUUACAAAUCUGAUAUGAGAAAAUUACAUCUGGGAGCAUUUUAAUUUACUUUAAUAGAGAGAUUCUUUUGUUAUGCAAAUAUCCCUUCAAUGACCAAAUUGUCUUUCUAAGGGGAUGUCAUCAAGAGGGAAAAGAGCUUAAAUUUAUUGAA